CCGAGUCUCUUUUUUUGGGAUCCGGGUUUUCAGUUUGGACAUGACGAAGGCAACACUCGGGGGACACAGAGAGGGUGCUCUGACCAUGAUUGGGCCUAAUUCAAUUCAUCCUCAAGGCCAAGUAGUAGCCCAAACCAUGAUCCAUCUUCUUAGAACUUCACAGAAGAAGUUGGGACCUGCAGUCCAAGAAUCCAUUGGUAGUUUCUGAAAUCCAGAAUGAGUAAAAAAUUCGGAGCAGGAAAGCAGCCCACGGGCACUCCUUCACUGGGGUGGUCCUUCGUUGUUGCCAUCGUUUCGCUUCUUGCCGGCGCUUCAGUUGUCCACAGCAUCUACAAACCCAACCUUACUCUGCCUCCAGUCGAAAGUGUUGAUGCUGCUGCCAAGGAGAAAGAGACUGGAAAAAAGUGAGUAUUUCUUACCUUUUUUCCACGCAAUACAGGUGUCUGUAUUUCACGGCAGCGAUGUGAACAAACUUUUGAAUUCUACAAGACAUUUUUAUUCUUUAACGUUUUCUGUAUUUUGCUAAAUAUGCCGUCUGUUUAAUUAAGAACGCUGAUCACUAGGGCGGUCCAAGGAAAUGUGGGGUUUUUUUUAGGUUUGAUUUGCUCCUCUUUACAAUGAUGAUUGGCCUAGUAAAAAUACUUGGGAAUAUAUUGGGGGUGCCAUGUUAUUAUUUUUUGAGA